GUGGUGUCCGAAAGGACUCAAUAGGGAAUCGGGUGUGAAUCCCGGACAGUUCCCGCUGCUGUGUCGGUUGGACGCUUGCCACUACGCCACUGUCGGACUCUCCGUCUGACGGGAAGGCGGCAAGUAGAGACCUUAGUCAGAAGACCUGCCCCAUGU
rnacentral:ncRNA from 1 species